GGGCAUUGAAAUUGGCUAAGGGAAAUGGCUGAUUACAAAGUAUUACUCUAUUCACUUACUCCUAGCCUACAGGA